rnacentral:rRNA from 1 species
GACAGAAGGGAGCUUGCUCCCGGAUGUAGCGGCGGACGGGUGAGUAACACGUGGGUAACCUGCCUGUAAGACUGGGAUAACUCCGGGAAACCGAAGCUAAUACCGGAUAGUUCCUUGAACCGCAUGGUUCAAGGAUGAAAGACGGUUUCGGCUGUCACUUACAGAUGGACCCGCGGCGCAUAGCUAGUUGGUGAGGUAACGGCUCACCAAGGCGACGAUGCGUAGCCGACCUGAGAGGGUGAUCGGCCACACUGGGACUGAGACACGGCCCAGACUCCUACGGGAGGCAGCAGUAGGGAAUCUUCCGCAAUGGACGAAAGUCUGACGGAGCAACGCCGCGUGAGUGAUGAAGGUUUCGGAUCGUAAAGCUCUGUUGUUAGGGAAGAACAAGUGCAAGAGUAACUGCUUGCACCUUGACGGUACCUAACCAGAAAGCCACGGCUAACUACGUGCCAGCAGCCGCGGUAAUACGUAGGUGGCAAGCGUUGUCCGGAAUUAUUGGGCGUAAAGGGCUCGCAGGCGGUUUCUUAAGUCUGAUGUGAAAGCCCCCGGCUCAACCGGGGAGGGUCAUUGGAAACUGGGAAACUUGAGUGCAGAAGAGGAGAGUGGAAUUCCACGUGUAGCGGUGAAAUGCGUAGAGAUGUGGAGGAACACCAGUGGCGAAGGCGACUCUCUGGUCUGUAACUGACGCUGAGGAGCGAAAGCGUGGGGAGCGAACAGGAUUAGAUACCCUGGUAGUCCACGCCGUAAACGAUGAGUGCUAAGUGUUAGGGGGUUUCCGCCCCUUAGUGCUGCAGCUAACGCAUUAAGCACUCCGCCUGGGGAGUACGGUCGCAAGACUGAAACUCAAAGGAAUUGACGGGGGCCCGCACAAGCGGUGGAGCAUGUGGUUUAAUUCGAAGCAACGCGAAGAACCUUACCAGGUCUUGACAUCCUCUGACAACCCUAGAGAUAGGGCUUUCCCUUCGGGGACAGAGUGA